UGGGGAAUAUUGCGCAAUGGGCGAAAGCCUGACGCAGCGACGCCGCGUGGGGGAUGACGGCCUUCGGGUUGUAAACCUCUUUCGACCGGGACGAAGCGUAAGUGACGGUACCGGUAUAAGAAGCACCGGCCAACUACGUGCCAGCAGCCGCGGUAAUACGUAGGGUGCGAGCGUUGUCCGGAAUUAUUGGGCGUAAAGAGCUCGUAGGCGGUGUGUCACGUCGAUCGUGAAAACUUACAGCUUAACUGUGAGCGUGCGGUCGAUACGGGCAUCACUGGAGUUCGGCAGGGGAGACUGGAAUUCCUGGUGUAGCGGUGAAAUGCGCAGAUAUCAGGAGGAACACCGGUGGCGAAGGCGGGUCUCUGGGCCGAUACUGACGCUGAGGAGCGAAAGCGUGGGGAGCGAACAGGAUUAGAUACCCUGGUAGUCCACGCCGUAAACGUUGGGCGCUAGGUGUGGGGAUCAUUCCACGGUCUCUGUGCCGCAGCUAACGCAUUAAGCGCCCCGCCUGGGGAGUACGGCCGCAAGGCUAA
rnacentral:rRNA from 1 species